CUACGGGAGGCUCCAGUGGGGAAUAUUGCACAAUGGGCGCAAGCCUGAUGCAGCCAUGCCGCGUGUAUGAAGAAGGCCUUCGGGUUGUAAAGUACUUUCAGCGGGGAGGAAGGGAGUAAAGUUAAUACCUUUGCUCAUUGACGUUACCCGCAGAAGAAGCACCGGCUAACUCCGUGCCAGCAGCCGCGGUAAUACGGAGGGUGCAAGCGUUAAUCGGAAUUACUGGGCGUAAAGCGCACGCAGGCGGUUUGUUAAGUCAGAUGUGAAAUCCCCGGGCUCAACCUGGGAACUGCAUCUGAUACUGGCAAGCUGGAGUCUCGUAGAGGGGGGUAGAAUUCCAGGUGUAGCGGUGAAAUGCGUAGAGAUCUGGAGGAAUACCGGUGGCGAAGGCGGCCCCCUGGACGAAGACUGACGCUCAGGUGCGAAAGCGUGGGGAGCAAACAGGAUUAAUACCCCUGUAGUC
rnacentral:rRNA from 1 species